AACAAAUACAUAAAUCCAUUUGCAAUUUUUUUUUUUUUUUUUUGGCAUUUGGUUGUGGGUAUUGAGGGAAUUAAACAGUUCGAACUUGAAAUUGGGUUGUGGUUUCUUGAAUUUUACAAAUUGGGUUAAUGGGUUUCUCAAAUGUUACAAUUUGGGUUAAUGGGUUUCUCGCAUUUUACAAAAUUGAGUUGUGGGUUUCUCGAAUUUUAUGAAUUGGGUUAGUGGAUUUCUCGGAUUUUACAAAAUUGAGUUGUGGGUUUCUCGAAUUUUACGAAUUGGGUUAAUGGGUUUCUCGCAUUUUACAAAAUUGAGUUGUGGGUUUCUCGAAUUUUACGAAUUGGGUUAAUGGGUUUCUCGCAUUUUACAAAAUUGAGUUGUGGGUUUCUCGAAUUUUACGAAUUGGGUUAGUGGAUUUCUCGGAUUUUACAAAAUUGGGUGUGAGCGGUUGGAUAUGGGGAGUAUGAAGAGCGGUAGAGGCAGAUUGAAGAAGUAUUGAAGAGAUGUAAUUAGAUAGGACAUGACGCAACUUAACUGAGGACAUGACCUUAGAGAGGAGGGUACGGAGGAUUAGGGUAGAAGUUUAGUGGGUAGUUGAGCGUUGUAUAGCUUUUCGACAGGAUUAGGCUUGGUGGUAGUCUGAAGCACCGUGUAUAUCAUAAUAGUAUUAGUCUUUUCCAUGUAGUUUCUUGCUUUUGACAUCUGGUAACAUAUGUUGUUUACUGUGUUUGGUUAUCGGCUAUUGCACUAUUUUGCUGUUGUUACUAUUCCUUUUCUGUAUGUUGUAUGCUCUGUACUGCUUUCCUUAUUCGUUGUCAUGUUUUCUUUACUGCCGGAUUUCCUCUUUCAUUACUACUUUGCUUUGUUGCACUCGAGCCGAGGGUCUUACAGAAAUAGCCUUUCUACCUCCACGUGGUAGGGGUAAGGUCUGCGCAGUGUUUUAAAAGGCAUUUUCAGGGCGAGCCCGUGGCUAGCUAGCCCCGGGAGAGGCGCACCAAAAACGCACCGAGCGUUCAUUUGGGGCGUAAGCCCCAAGAACUUUUCCAAAUUUGAGCUAAAAUUGCUUGAAAAAUCUGUUUUUAAAAGUUAAAUAUCCAAAAGUUUGCUCAUAGUAAAUUGUCAAACUAAAAAUCUCAAAAAGUCAAAAGUUUUUUCUAAUUGUUUAUUCUAAUUUCAUAAUCUUUUCUCUGUGUUGUUUACGGAGUGACAUAUACGCUUUAGACCUUUGUAUGCACAGUCUCCUAUGCUUCCAUGCUUGCAUUUUCUUUCUUAUGUUUUAUUUUCUACAAGAUUUUUUUAGCAUUGUUCUAUUUAUCUUUUUCAAGAUAGUUUUUAGUUUUAGAAUUUCUUUUGUAUCGCUCUAGUUUAGAUAUUGAUUUAAAGACUCUAUUCUAGCUAUUUGUAUUAUUGUGUGUAUUAAUUUGUUAUCUAGUUUUAGGUUUUAAAACAAUGACUUUAUAUUAUCGCAUUUUUAUCUUUGAAUUAUGAGGAUAGAGUAUCAUUUUUACAACUCUAAUUAUGUUUCAUCAUAGUCAUGUUAUUGGUGUAAUGCAUCUUUACGUCAUUCGCUUUUUUUUAAUGGUUCGUGCACAUGUUAAUGUUGAAAUUAGAUGUACAUUUUUCUACUAAUUUUAUUAUUUUCUUUAAAAAAAAUUAUAAUUUUAAUGUAUCUUUUUAUUUUUUUUAUUUUA